AUAAACUUAUUUUUUUCAAAAUUGACUUCACAACAGAUCUUAACUUCCGUCAGGAACUACUGUUUGUCAAUAAGGUUUUUGAUCUGCGUUUUCCAUGUAAUGAUUGUUGUAAUUAACUAUUAAAUCAAUCCUAUAAUUUAUUUUUAUAUAUUAUCUAUGAAAUGACGUACUUUUAUUGUGUAAGAUAAUAAGUGCCUGUUUCAGGUUAAGCGGCUUUAAUGUUUGUUUAUUUGCCUUAAUCAUACAUUUUUCAGUCAUUUCAUGGUGCCACCACUUGGGAUGGUAUUAGCUGCAAAUAUAGACUUGUACUCAGCACUUAUUGCCUUUAAGAAGUAUGAGAUCCAUUUUGUGCUAACACCUACCGUGACACAGAAUCUUGGUUUAUGCAGUCUCAUAGGAGUAACCUGUCUAAAGAAUUUAGCAAUGGGAUUGGAACCUGCGACGUGUGACUCAUCUGAAUACUGAAUUUUGAUACCAAGCAUGACCAUGUUUUGCCAGAAGAUCAUCUGUUUGGAUGUGACAUGGAAUAAACAGCAUAGUGAAAAUAAGUCAAGUUUUGGUUUGUGAAUACAAUUUUUAAACACACUGUGUAUCAUUUUUAAAUUUUGAUUUGACAACAUAAAUCCACAAAUAUGAACAUAUCAAUUGCUCUCAGUUUUUCAAGUGAAAUAGUUUUUGUAACAGAAAUACAUGUACCAGUAAUUACAUUGGAAUAAAUGUUAUUUUUAAAUAUAAUAA